UGCAAUGUAUAAAAACUAUUCAGUGCUGGUGCUGAUGACAAGCCAUUGCGCAUGGUGAAAACUGUUCUAUGUGAACUAGUGAAGCUUCGAGGAGCUAUUAUUAAAGGUCACCUUUCAAUGGUUCCUAUUGACAAGAAGCCUCAACCAAUAAUUCUUGCUUACAUUGAUCUUAAUCUAGAGAAAGCUAUAAAAACUGCCUAACCUGCUACUAGAAGAGAAGGGUUUUCUGUCAUUCCUAAUGUAAAAUUGGAAGAUGUAGGUGGACUAGAUCUUACAAGGAAGGAACUUGAUCGAUUCAUAAUUAGGCAUUUGAAAUACCACGAGAAAUUUAAGGCUGAUAUGAACAUGUUAGAAGACGAACUACCAACAAAAAGAUGACUUUCAUCAGCCCUUGUUAAGGUAUAUUGAGAUGAUUUCUUUGGAGGAAUUCUUGACAACAUUUGUAGUUGAGGCCUUUAGAAUGGAAGAAUGUAUUUCACUAAUUUCUAUAUACAUUUCUUGUUUUGUAUUUAGUGAUAAAGGAAUCAGAAUUGGGCAUAAAUUAUGUUUUAAUAUGAUUUCUUAAGCCUAGACUAGUAGACUAAAUAUUGUAAUUACAUUUGAUUAAUUAAUAAAAAUCUAUUUAUGUUA